rnacentral:lncRNA from 1 species
GAGCUAGCCUCUGUUGCCCAUCGUCGUCAGUUUCAGAGGCGGGUAGACUCUCCGCCUGCCUUCGACAGACCCUCUGCGCUUGAAAGCUUUCCUCCUCCCGUCAUCACGGUCCUUCUCGGAUGACGUGCCUGGUUUCGGUUUGACCGUCCCCGCCCGCCCUGAUUUUCUAAGUCCUCCCGGGAGCCCCGGGGGCGCUCCGGCCGCUCCGGGAAGCGGCGGCCUCCCGGCCGCACCGGCUCAGCCCGGCCCGGGCCGACCCCUGGCCUCUCUGGGGGAACUCUCCCCGUCCCCUUCCCGCUCCGGCGACGCGGGCCAAGGGACGGGACUCGGCCGCGGUGACCGAGGCAGAGUCCCGGGAGGCCGGCGUCGCUGGCGGGAUCUGGCCCGGUGGCGCCGGUGCGUGAGCGCGACGCCCGCUCGCCGGAGAUUGGAGGUGCAGGCUACUGAGGGAGGUGGCUGUCGCCGCGCCGCCCGGUGCCGGCCGGGGUGUGGGGCCUCCCGGACGGGUCGACCAGCAGCCGCCGGUGCCCCUCCGUCCCCGGGAGGGGGUGGGGGGCCACCGCGGGGGAACGGGCGAGGGAACUCGUCCCGUGCCCGGCCGUCGUCCUGAGGGCGGCCCGGUGGUCGGGCCUUCCGCGUCGCCGAUCCCCUUUCCGCGCCCCGCUCCGGAGGUGGGGGACCGGCCGGGGCC